GUCUACGGCCAUGCUGCCCUGAACAAGCCCGAUCUCGUCUGAUCUCAGAAGCUAAGCAGGUCAGGCCUGGGUUAGUACUUGGAUGGGAGACCACCUAGGAAGACCAGGUGCUGUAGGCA
rnacentral:rRNA from 1 species